rnacentral:rRNA from 1 species
AGGGGGCUAGCGUUGUUCGGAAUUACUGGGCGUAAAGCGCGCGUAGGCGGGCUAUUAAGCCAGAUGUGAAAGCCCGGGGCUCAACCUCGGAAUUGCAUUUGGAACUGGUAGCCUAGAGACCAGGAGAGGUUAGCGGAAUACCGAGUGUAGAGGUGAAAUUCGUAGAUAUUCGGUGGAACACCAGUGGCGAAGGCGGCUAACUGGACUGGUACUGACGCUGAGGUGCGAAAGUGUGGGGAGCAAACAGGAUUAGAUACCCUGGUAGUCCACACCGUAAACGUUGGGCGCUAGGUGUGGGAUCCAUUCCACGGGUUCCGUGCCGCAGCUAACGCAUUAAGCGCCCCGCCUGGGGAGUACGGCCGCAAGGCUAAAACUCAAAGGAAUUGACGGGGGCCC